CCGAAAGGGUUGCUAAUACCCAAUAAUGUCAGUAAAACACAUGUUAUACUGACCAAAGGGGCCCGUAAGGGUCCUGCUAAAAGAGGGAUCUAUGUCCUAUCAGCUUGUUGGCAGGGUAAAGGCCUACCAAGGCUAUGACGGGUAGCCGGCCUGAGAGGGUGGCCGGCCACAUUGGGACUGAGACACUGCCCAGACUCCUACGGGAGGCUGCAGUCGAGGAUCUUUCGCAAUGCCCGAAAGGGUGACGAAGCGACGCCGCGUGUGGGAAGAAGGCCUUCGGGUUGUAAACCACUGUCAGGAGUUAAGAAAUGUAAGGGUGCUAAUACCAUCCUUACUUGACAAAAGCUCCAGAGGAAGUCACGGCUAACUCUGUGCCAGCAGCCGCGGUAAGACAGAGGUGGCAAGCGUUGUUCGGAAUCAUUGGGCGUAAAGAGCACGUAGGCGGUUUUGCAAGUCUGGUGUGAAAGCCCCUGGCUCAACCAGGGAAUUGCAUCAGAAACUACAAGACUUGAGUACAGUAGGGGAGAGCGGAACUUCUAGUGGAGCGGUGAAAUGCGUAGAUAUUAGAAGGAACGCCGGCGGCGAAAGCGGCUCUCUAGGCUGUAACUGACGCUGAGUGUGCGAAAGCUAGGGGAGCAAACGGGAUUAGAUACCCCGGUAGUCCUAGCCGUAAACGAUGGGCACUAAGUAGGGGGGUUGAGACGACCUCUCUGCCGGAGCUAACGCAUUAAGUGCCCCGCCUGGGAAGUACGGCCGCAAGGCUAAAACUCAAAGGAAUUGACGGGGGCUCGCACAAGCGGUGGAGAAUGUGGCUUAAUUCGAUGCAACGCGAAGAACCUUACCGGGGUUUGACAUGAUGGAAGUAGAAACCUGAAAGGGGGACGAUUGGUAUCCAGUCCAAAACCAUCACAGGUGUUGCAUGGCUGUCGUCAGCUCGUGUCGUGAGACGUCGGGUUAAGUCCUCUAACGAGCGAAACCCUUAUCUCUAGUUGCCAGCGGGUAAUGCCGGGAACUUUAGAGAGACCGCCGUUGUUAAGACGGAGGAAGGUGGGGACGACGUCAAGUCAUCAUGGCCUUUAUACCCCGGGCUGCACACGUUCUACAAUGGCUGGUACAGAGGGAAGCUAAGCCGCGAGGUGGAGCGAAUCCCUUAAAGCCGGUCUCAGUUCGGAUUGGAGGCUGAAAUUCGCCUCCAUGAAGUUGGAAUCGCUAGUAAUCGCGGAUCAGCCUUGCCGCGGUGAAUAUGUUCCCGAGCCUUGUACACACCGCCCGUCAAGCCACCCAAGCAAGAUACACCCGAAAUCGCUGACCCAACCCUCGCGGGAGGGAGGCGCUGAAGGUGUGUCUUGUGAGGAGGACUAAGUCGUAACAAGGUAACC
rnacentral:rRNA from 1 species